rnacentral:lncRNA from 1 species
ACUCCCACCGCUUGGAUCGCCACGGCCUGGCCCCGGGCUUCGACCUGCCGGGCCUCGACACUUACCGGGCGCUGAGACUGCAGCGCGAGCCCGUGUUCGAGACCCAGUGACCCCGGGCGACGUCCGGAGCCUCCAGUCUCCUUGGCCUGCGGCUCUCCGACCUGAGGGGGCUGCGAAGACGCUGAGAACCCAGGAGACUGGGAGUUUCUCCUGUGUCUGUGACCAUGGUGAUGACUUGGGGACUCGGAGCGGGAUCUGUGUCAUCAAUCUCGGGGACCUGCCUCUGUGGUGUCUUGGACUGUUGGUCCGAUGCCUUUCUCUGCGGGCCGAAGGACUUCUUUUGGGAGAUGGACUCUGCCUUCUGGGAAACCAACCCCUCCUCCUCCUGUAUCACAGUGUGUUAGAGCGACCAGGCUGGUCUGAGUCUCUGGAGCUUCUCCAGCGAUGAUCGGGUGACUGGACUCUUGCCAGCUUAUCUUCUUCCUCUUCACUGGACUCCACAAUGCCUGCGUCUUCUUUUAGAGCACUGACUUGAGGCUCCAGUUGCUCAGCUUCCUCUAGCACGUAGCGUUUCUGUAGCGGGGGCAGAAUGAUAUCACAUACUCUCUCACUGGGCAGCAGUUUGUCAAUGGAUUCAUCUACACGCAUCAGUUCCAACUCUCCAUUUUGGUGCUGGCUGUUGAUUUCUCAAUAGUCCUUGUAUAAAGGUUCCAAGUACUUGUAACAAUCAGUUGCAGAGCCAGUCAGCCUCAUGUAAAGUGCGCCCAACAGGCGGAUAUACUUGAAAUCUCCAUUUGUUAUAAACCUUACACAUUCGAAACACUGACUUUUUGUGGAAUAUAUAGUUUGUAAAUAUUAUCUAGUCUCUAGCUUCUCUCUUUAUCCUUCUGGGAUCUCUUGCAAAGC